rnacentral:lncRNA from 1 species
AGGAUUCUUAGUUAGAGUCAUAUGUGUAAGCUUAGAAGUCCCCAGACAAGGACAGAGAAGGGAGAAGGGAGUCCCCCAUUAGGUGGUAAGCCCCAGAAGGCUAUCUGUUCAAUGGUAGGCUUCAACCUUGAUUAGCAGAGUUUUCCCACAAUAAUGAAGCCCAUAUUGUACCUAACUAAUGUAUGCUAAUUAAUAACACAUUAGCUAAAGGACAGGCAGACAAGUAAGCUGAGAGUGUCUGGAACUCUGAGAAGAUGGUGAGCACCAGGGUGAAGCUGGAGGUAGUGCUCUAGUUAAGUGUUUCAAUGACUUUGGCAGCUUUUAUUUCUGCUUUUUAAUUAACCUGGAGACUGGAGAGAUGGCUCAGCAGGUAAGGACGUACCCUGUGGUUCCCAGCAUCCACAUUAUGUUACCCACCUCUAACUCCCGCUCCCAGGCAUCUUUUAAAAUCAUCAGAUCUCACACAUGCAUACCCCCCAACAGACAUACAUAAAACUAAAGUAGACUGGAGAGAGGGCUCAGCAGUUAGGAGCACUUGCUACCCUUACAGAAGACCUGGGUUUGGUUCAUAGCACCUACAUAGCAACUCACAGUUUUCAUAGCUCCAGGUCCAGGGGAUCUGAUGCUUUCUUUGGGUACAUGGUUCACAUACUUGCAUUCAGGCAAAACACAUUAAAAACAAAAUGUCAGUCACUUUCUCUCUCUCUCUCUCUCUCUCUCUCUCUCUCUCUCUCUCUCUCUCUCUCUCUCUCUGUGGGUGUGUCUGUGUGGGGGGGUGUUUUAAAAAUUAAUGUGGGGCUGGAGAACUGGCUCAGUAGUUAAUAGCACCUACUGCUCUUCUGAAGGUCCUGAGUUCAAAUCCCAGCAACCACAUGGUGGAUUACAACCAUCCAUAAUGCGAUCUGAUGCCCUCUUCUGGCAUGUCUGAAGACAGCUACUGUGUACUAACAUAUAAUAAAAAAUAAAGAUUUAAAAAAAAAUUAAUGUGUCUGUUGAGAUCGUUCAACAAGUCAAAUCAUUCAGUACACAAGCCUGGCGACCUGAAUUCCAUUCCCAGAACCC